UGUAUAGCUAAAGCUAACUGUGUUUUGUAAAAAAUAUAGAUUCGAUUUAUUCGUAUAAAGUUCAAGGUAGAGUUUAUGAUAAUGACAUUUUCUAUCUAUAGUCUUGACCAACAUGCGUGCCAGCGGUCGCGGCAAGACGCUAAAGACAAGUGUUAUUCAUCUUUAAUAGGUUUAAAGCGUACCUAGACGGUAAAUCAAGCCUUAAUCGGGACUAAUUUAACUAGAGUUAGAUGUAAGGGUGCAUUAACGUACUGUUGAGUGUAGAGAUGAAAUUCUGUCAUACCAGAUGAUUGGCACGGGUUUAGGCGAAAGCAUCACCUUAUGUAAUAACUGACGUUGAAGGACGAAGGCUUUGUAUCGCGAACAGGAUUAGAUACCCCAGUAGUCUAAGCAGAAAAUGAUGAGUGUCAUAGGUUAAAUAUUAUUUAGUCUAUAAAUGAAAGUGUAAGCAUUCCACCUCAUGAGUAAUUUGGCAACAUUGGAAUUGAAAUCAUUAGACCGUUUCUGAAACCAGUAGUGAAGUAUGUUGUUUAAUUAGAUGAUACACAAAGAACCUUACCACAAUUUGAAUAUUUUUAUUUUACAAGCGUUGCACGGCUGUCUACAGUUAAUGUCGUGAGAUUCUGGUUAGUUCCAUUUAAUUAACGUAAACCCUUACUUUAUUUUAUUUAUAUAAAGUUGUUCGCCGCUAGAUUGGUAUUGAUAAAAGGGG
rnacentral:rRNA from 1 species